UUUUCCGCAAGCCCAGCUGCUAUUACCUUGAACAAAUUAGAGUGCUCUAUGCAGGCUAUCCUACGGCCGAGAAUAAUCUUGCAUGGAAUAAUGGAAUAUGACCUCGGUCUUAUAUUCAUUGGUUUGUAAUCAGAUCAGAAGGUAUGAUUAACAUAAGUCGUGUGGGGGCAUAGUAUUACGGCGCGAGAGGUGAAAUUCAAUAGAUCGUAAAAGACUAACAAAAGCGAACGCAUUUGCCAUGGAUGCUUUCAUN
rnacentral:ncRNA from 1 species